CUAACAAGGAUUCCCUUAGUAACGGCGAGUGAACAGGGAUUAGCCCAGCACCGAAGCCUGUGGCCAUUUGGUUACUAGGCAAUGUGGUGUUCAGGUCGUUCCGCAGAGGCACUGCUCCACUCCAAGUCCAGCAAUGAGUACGGUAGUACAGACUUGGCCCAUAGAGGGUGAAAGGCCCGUGGGGGUGGAGAUUCAGGCAGGCCAGUGUCUCUCUGGGUAGACCUUGGAGUCGGGUUGUUUGUGAAUGCAGCCCAAAGCGGGUGGUAAACUCCAUCCAAGGCUAAAUACUAGCACGAGUCCGAUAGCGAACAAGUACCGUGAGGGAAAGUUGAAAAGUACUUUGAAGAGAGAGUAAACAGUGCGUGAAACCGCUCAGAGGUAAACGGGUGGAGUUGAACUGCAAGCCUUGAGAAUUCAGCUGGUGAGUGUGGUUUGAGCUUGGUCAAAUUGGUUGUACACUGGGGUCUGCGUAGUAGCAGGUCUCUGCCCUCGGGUGGGGAUGCGCGAAUCGUUUAUCAAGCGUUGGGCGCUCCAGAUGUAUUCGGACCUGCUUGCCAGUGCACUUUCUCAGGGUGUUCACCACGACCGGCACUGCUGUCUGGCUGUUGUGGUUAAACCGGUCUUGCAUUGUCCUUGUGGCUUUGUUUGGUCGGGACGGCAGGUAGCUCGUUGGCUAGUCUGGGGUAACCUGGGCAAUUGGUCUUCGGGUGUAAUCAGCUGACCAUAAUGGUUCUGUGCGGUGUGUCGGAGACGGCGGCUUGUGGUGUGAGCGCGCGUUCCUUGUCUGCUGACUUGUUUGGGUUUGGUUGCUAUGUUGCUUGUUCUGCAAGCCUGGCGAAUGGCCUGAGCAUGUUUGGCGGGCGGUUGCCUGUGUGACACUAAUACAGGGCCAAUAGUCUGUGGUGUAGUGGUAGAC
rnacentral:rRNA from 1 species